ACAACUAGCAGCAGUAUUAACGUCUAAAAUUUGAAUCCUUACACUUUAAAUCAAGGGCAGAAACAAUAUUUUGAAGGAAGAAAAGCAAUUGAGUAUCCUGGUCUAUGGGAAAAAAGCCAUGCGCAGUAUUUCAUUGUUUUGUGAAAGGGAAACUGGGAGAGAAAUGGCUUCAAUAUUUUAUCACAUGUAUUAAUUUCAUAUUCCAUCUGACUGGCAAUAUCAUUAUGCCCCAGGCUUUUACAUGUCAGAAUAAGGCUGGCACCCAGAGUGCGGCCUCUCAGGAUGACUGGAACCACCAGGGAAAGGAAGGGACAUUUGGAGUCCUGCAGAGAUUUCUACCUUCAGCCUGGAGAGAGAAAGCACUUUGAAUGGCCCUGUUGUCAUCUUUCAAGAUAACAAUAACUGAUACAGAAAGAAACCUUGGACACUGAGCAAGUCAGAUCCCAUCUGUCAUCAUUUCACAUUCACUGGCUUUUGCAGAUAUGAGAAAGAAUUCUCUGUCAUUUUUUUUUUACUGCCAUUGGACUUGGACUUCCCUGAGGACUCCAUCCAAGUCUUCACAUAGUGUAAGUUCAGAGCUUGUUGCCCUUGGUGUCCUUAUCACUGUGCUAACCCAGAUCACCACUGUGCCUCUGGAGAUGGAGAAGAGAGAUGUUCCAUCUCUCUCUGAUCGGUGUCUCUGUUUCAUGAGUUAAGUAUUGGGUUAGAUGAGAGCUCAAGUUCUUAUUUCUCAUCUCAUCUCCUCCAUGCUCAUAAACUUACACAAGAAAUAAGUGUUUAUAAUCUUCAAAUUGCCUUCAAUUCUGAGCACUGUCAUAAAACCUUUUGCAGUCUUCUGUCCUUCUAGAGACAUAAGUCAGCCUUUCACCUAGCAUACCUGGGAUGCAUACAGAACCACCUACCAGUCUCUUAGUAUGUAUCUUACCACAUAAAC
rnacentral:lncRNA from 1 species